UGCAGUUAAAAAGCUCGUAGUUGGAUUUCUGUGUCGGAACACGCGGGGCGUGGCCAUAUCGGCUUAGCUUACGUGGGUUCUUACACAUCCUGCUCUUACCCGCGCUUGUCUUAAUUGACUGGCGAUGGCGAGGGGCUCGUUUACUCUGAGAAAAAUAGAGUGUUCAAAGCAGGCUUUGCGCCUUGAAUAACUUAGCAUGGAAUAAUGACAAAGGACCUUGGUUCUUUUUGUUGGUGUUCGGCACCGAGGUAAUGAUUGAUAGGGACAGUUGGGGGCGUCAGUAUUCCGAGGUCAGAGGUGAAAUUCAUAGAUUCUCGGAAGACUAGCAGAUGCGAAAGCGUUCGCCACGGAUGUACUCUUUGAUCAAGAACGAAAGUUGGGGGAUCGAAGACGAUCAGAUACCGUCGUAGUCUCAACUAUAAACUAUACCAGCUAGGGAUCGGGCAACGCCGUAAUCCAGAAGGCUUGCUCGGCACCUUAUGAGAAAUCAAAGCAUUUGGGUUCCGGGGGGAGUAUGGUCGCAAGGCUGAAAACUUAAAG
rnacentral:rRNA from 1 species